rnacentral:pre_miRNA from 1 species
AAAAAGGCAAACCCUAGAUUUCCGUGUCCAACUUUGACUGUCCGUCUUAUAUGAAAUUUUUUUGUAAUUUAUAUUUUCAUUGUUGUUAGAUGAUAAAACAUGAUUAAUAUUUUAUGCGUGACUUGUCUUUUAAUUUUUUUCAUAAUUAUUUGAAAUAAGACAGAUGGUCAAAUGUUGGGCACGGAAACCAGGGUUUGUCUUUUU